rnacentral:rRNA from 1 species
AUUGAACGCUAGCGGGAUGCCUUACACAUGCAAGUCGAACGGAGUGGCGAACGGGUGAGUACUGUAUCGGAAGGUGCCCAGUGGCGAGGGAUAACUAAGCGGAAGCGUAGCUAAUACCGCAUACUAUUGGAGCGGCCGAUAUUGCAUUAGCGAGUUGGUGGGGUAACGGCUCACCAAGGCGACGAUCCUGAGCUGGGUUGAGAGGACGACCGGCCACACUGGGACUGAGCAACGGCCCAGACUCCUACGGGAGGCAGCAGUGGGGAAUUUUGGACAAUGGGGGAAAGUCUGAUCCAGCCACCCCGCGUGUGCGAUGAAGGCCUUCGGGUUGUAAAGCACUGUUGGUAGGUAAGCGGUACCUUAAGAGUAAGCCACGGCUAACUACGUGCCAGCCGCCGCGGUAAUUC